rnacentral:rRNA from 1 species
GAUGAACGCUGGCGGCGUGCUUAACACAUGCAAGUCGAACAAUGAAGCCCAGCUUGCUGGGUGGAUUAGUGGCGAACGGGUGAGUAACACGUGAGUAACCUGCCCUUAACUCUGGGAUAAGCCUGGGAAACUGGGUCUAAUACCGGAUAGGAGCGUCCACCGCAUGGUGGGUGUUGGAAAGAUUUAUCGGUUUUGGAUGGACUCGCGGCCUAUCAGCUUGUUGGUGAGGUAAUGGCUCACCAAGGCGACGACGGGUAGCCGGCCUGAGAGGGUGACCGGCCACACUGGGACUGAGACACGGCCCAGACUCCUACGGGCGGCAGCAGUGGGGAAUAUUGCACAAUGGGCGCAAGCCUGAUGCAGCGACGCCGCGUGAGGGAUGACGGCCUUCGGGUUGUAAACCUCUUUCAGUAGGGAAGAAGCGAAAGUGACGGUACCUGCAGAAGAAGCACCGGCUAACUACGUG